UACGUAGGGUGCGAGCGUUAAUCGGAAUUACUGGGCGUAAAGCGUGCGCAGGCGGUUUUGUAAGUCUGUCGUGAAAUCCCCGGGCUUAACCUGGGAAUGGCGAUGGAGACUGCAAGGCUAGAGUUUGGCAGAGGGGGGUAGAAUUCCACGUGUAGCAGUGAAAUGCGUAGAGAUGUGGAGGAACACCGAUGGCGAAGGCAGCCCCCUGGGUCAAAACUGACGCUCAUGCACGAAAGCGUGGGGAGCAAGCAGG
rnacentral:rRNA from 1 species